CCUCCCCUUCAGAUAACACUUAUCUUCUCUGUGAGGUCCUUCUCCUGUGCAGACCUGCAUCCUUAGAAUACAGAGCAGGGGGGAGGGGAGGUAAUGAGCUGUGUACUCAGCUGGAUGAGAUGAGGGGGCGUGGCUUAUUCCUCUCAUGCAGACAAAGGGGGAAAAAAAAGCUGUGACAUCUUGUCCUCAACAGCCUCAGAACUGUGGACAACAGUAAAGGAAAACCCUCUGAACUACAGAACUUCCUGCCCAACAAACAGACAUAGACAUAGAAUGGCCACUUUAUUAGAGAAACCUGCCAUUUCACGUGUGGAAUUUCCUGUAUGGAGUUGAUUCAUGUAACCUAGACUGAAGAAAAGUUAAGUGAUCUAAGCAACUUCAAAUAAGGCCUGGUCAUCGGUGCUAGACUAGCCAGGUUUCCAGUGCCAAAGAAAGCAAAGCAGCCCCAGAGCAUCACGUGCAGUCCAAUUACUGUAGGUGUAUGUCGUGAAGUUUGGAUACAUAGACCUUCAUUAUUAUGCUACUUACAGCAAAAAGAGAAACCUCAUUGCCUGCUGCCAUUAAAUCUUGCUACGAGUCUUUUGCAGUAACUUGAGGGUUUUUGACCACCUGUCCCCUCGGGAAUCUAGUGGCCGCUGGUUAUAGCUUUCUUGUUCUGUUGUAUUCUGUUGACUGUGUUUCUUUACUUUUGUUCUUGCAAACUAUGCUUCCAACUGUAUCUCCAAACAUACAACAUUCAAUGACUGUGCUAUCUUUUUGUAUCCUUUCCCUUGUUUACACAAGGCAAUGAUCUCUUUUUAAGGUUUUUUAUCCCAAGCACACCUGGGGCAACUAGUGAAGCCCUUGAUGCAUGAAACAACACCUGGUUUACAAAUAUGUGUUUUUUUUUUAAAUUGCAUGUUAUGUUUAGUUGUGUUGAGCUAUUUAAAUUCUAUUUAUUUAUUUUGUAAACAGUGAAAGUUGAAUAAUUGGUUGCAAUUGUACCUCAGGGCAGAAGACAUUUAUACAUUUCAGAUGGCCCAGAGAAUGUAAACUGAGCGGCAGACAUGCAAUGCUUGUUUCUCAGAAAGUACAGAAGCAGGAAUUCAUGCCUUUGACA